rnacentral:rRNA from 1 species
AUCGGAAUGAGUACACUUUAAAUCCUUUAACAAGGAUCCAUUGGAGGGCAAGUCUGGUGCCAGCAGCCGCGGUAAUUCCAGCUCCAAUAGCGUAUAUUAAAGUUGUUGCGGUUAAAAAGCUCGUAGUUGGUUCUGCGUGCCGCGCUGUCGGUUCGCCGCCUGUCGGUGUAACUGGCAUGUCGCGGCAUGUCCUGUCGGUGGUGAACGGAGUCCACGACGCUACAUGGGCUUUAUAGUCGAUGUUAGCAUCGUGUGUACUUCCGUUGGCCGAUCUCUCCUACUUCGGUGCUCUUAAACGAGUGUCGAGGUAGGCCGACACGUUCACUUUGAACAAAUUAGAGUGCUUAAAGCAGGCUGAAAUAUCUGCCUGAAUAGUGGUGCAUGGAAUGAUAAAACAGGACCUCGGUUCUAUUUUGUUGGUUUUAGGAAUAUGAGGUAAUGAUCAAUGUGGACUGGCGGGGGCAUUCGUAUUGCGACGUUAGAGGUGAAAUUCUUGGAUCGUCGCAAGACGCACUAGAGCGAAAGCAUUUGCCAAGUAUGUCUUAAUUGAUCAAGAACGAAAGUUAGAGGUUCGAAGGCGAUCAGAUACCGCCCUAGUUCUAACCAUAAACGAUGCCAGCCAGCGAUCCGCCGAUGUUCCUUUAAUGACUCGGCGGGGAGCUUCCACCCGGGAAACCAAAGCU